rnacentral:rRNA from 1 species
UUUUAUUUGAGAGUUUGAUCCUGGCUCAGGAUGAACGCUGGCGGCGUGCCUAACACAUGCAAGUUGAGCGAUUUACUUCGGUAAAGAGCGGCGGACGGGUGAGUAACGCGUGGGUAACCUACCCUGUACACACGGAUAACAUACCGAAAGGUAUGCUAAUACGGGAUAAUAUAUUUGAGAGGCAUCUCUUAAAUAUCACAGGUGAGCCAGUACAGGAUGGACCCGCGUCUGAUUAGCUAGUUGGUAAGGUAACGGCUUACCAAGGCGACGAUCAGUAGCCGACCUGAGAGGGUGAUCGGCCACAUUGGAACUGAGACACGGUCCAAACUCCUACGGGAGGCAGCAGUGGGGAAUAUUGCACAAUGGGCGAAAGCCUGAUGCAGCAACGCCGCGUGAGUGAUGAAGGCCUUCGGGUCGUAAAACUCUGUCCUCAAGGAAGAUAAUGACGGUACUUGAGGAGGAAGCCCCGGCUAACUACGUGCCAGCAGCCGCGGUAAUACGUAGGGGGCUAGCGUUAUCCG